rnacentral:rRNA from 1 species
CCCCUAGAUGUUCUGGGCCGCACGCGCGCUACACUGAACAGUUCAACAAGUCUUAACCUUGGCCGAUAGGUCUGGGUAAUCUUUGAACGCUGUUCGUGAUUGGGAUAGACCUUUGCAAUUAUGGGUCUUCAACGAGGAAUUCCUAGUAAACGCAAGUCAUCAGCUUGCAUUGAUUACGUCCCUGCCCUUUGUACACACCGCCCGUCGCACCUACCGAUUGAAUGGUCCGGUGAAAUCUCGGGACGGCGGCUUGGUCGCUUGCGUCCGACUGCUGAAACUUGAUUAAACCAUAUCAUUUAGAGGAAGUAAAAGUCGUANCA